GGAAGCGUGGCAGAGUGGUCGAUUGCACCGGUCUUGAAAACCGGCGGUCCGCAAGGACCCGUGAGUUCGAAUCUCACCGCUUCCGCCA
rnacentral:tRNA from 2 species